AUACGGAGGGCGCAAGCGUUAAUCGGAAUUACUGGGCGUAAAGAGUACGUAGGUGGUUUAUUAAGUCAGAUGUGAAAGCCCCGGGCUUAACCUGGGAACUGCAUUUGAUACUGGCAAACUAGAGUAUGGUAGAGGCGGGUAGAAUUCCUAGUGUAGCGGUGAAAUGCGUAGAUAUUAGGAGGAAUACCAGUGGCGAAGGCGGCCCGCUGGACCAAUACUGACACUGAGGUACGAAAGCGUGGGUAGCGAACAGGAUUAGAAACCCUAGUAGUCC
rnacentral:rRNA from 1 species